rnacentral:lncRNA from 1 species
GAAAAAUCAUAAAGAGAAUGACAAACAUUAGUAGACCCACCUUAAACACCUAAGGUAGUCGUUUCAUUAGAACCCGGAGGUACCCCUUGAAAGUUAUUUUCCUCCGUAAUCAAGCCUUCUAAACUGAUCCUGUCAAUGAAUGUUGUUAUAGCUUCAGCAACAAAAUCAUGAUCGAUUACCUUCACCUUGAGUUUGUUGCCUUUAUCCUGAAGAUUGUGAGACCCAUUCUUAAACGUUUGAGGUCCCUAGAAAGCCCUAUAUUUCAUUUAUGUCACAAUUUUUCCAUGUAAAAUUUUUUGUUUUUCAAUUUAAUCCCUAUUUGACAAUUUCAUAAAAAAACCUCUUAACAAAAGUUGUUUAUAUAACAACAACUAUCCAUUUUAUUCCAUCAAACAUUAAAAAAAAAUAUAUUCAUUCAUGGAAAACUCUAAUCCUUUAGCAUUUUUACAAAUUAGUCGUUAGGCUAGCUAGAUUAAGCUACAAUGAUCCUAAAAACAUAGAAAUCAUUAAAAACGGGACAAAAAUCACUUACAAUCAAGCAAUGAGAAGUUGCCAAAAUUAAAAGCUCAAUAAUGGCUUCCCAAACCCUAAGAUUCAG